AACGAACGCUGGCGGCAUGCCUAACACAUGCAAGUCGAACGAGACCUUCGGGUCUAGUGGCGCACGGGGGCGUAACGCGUGGGAACCUGCCCUUAGGUUCGGCAUAACUCCCCGAAAGGGGUGCUAAUACCGGAUAAUGUCUUCGGACCAAAGAUUUAUCGCCUUUGGAUGGGCCCGCGUUGGAUUAGCUAGUUGGUAGGGUAAAAGCCUACCAAGGCGAGGAUCCAUAGCUGGGCUGAGAGGAUGAUCAGCGACACUGGGACUGAGACGCGGCCCAGACUCCUACGGGAGGCAGCAGUGGGGAAUAUUGGACAAUGGGGGAAGGCCUGAUGCUGCAAGGCCGGGUGAGUGAUGAAGGCCUUAGGGUUGUAAAGCUCUUUUAACCGGGAUGAUAAUGACAGUACCGGGAGAAUAAGCGCCGGCUAACUCCGUG
rnacentral:rRNA from 1 species